AACUUAAAAAUUUUUGGUUGGGGCAACCGCGAAGAAAAAAAAACCUUCGAAAAUAAAAAAAUAAACAAAUUUAAAAUUAAUAAAAAAAAUGAUCCAGUAACUGAACAAGGAAAAAAGUUACCGUAGGGAUAACAGCGUUAUUUUCUCUAAGAGCUCAUAUUGACGAGAAAGUUUGCGACCUCGAUGUUGGAUCGGGGCCUCCUAGAGGUGCAGCAGCCUCUAAGGGUGGGUCUGUUCGACCCCUAAAGCCCUACGUGAUCUGAGUUCAGACCGACGCAAGUCAGGUCAGUUUCUAUCUA
rnacentral:rRNA from 1 species